UACGUAGGCAGCAAGCGUUGUUCGGAGUUACUGGGCGUAAAGAGUGCGUAGGCGGUGCCCUAAGUCUGUUGUGAAAUCUCCCGGCUUAACUGGGAGGGUGCGGUGGAAACUGGGGUGCUUGAGAGUGGGAGAGGUUAGCGGAAUUCCUGGUGUAGCGGUGAAAUGCGUAGAUAUCUGGAGGAACACCAGUGGCGAAAGCGCGUGACUGGGCCACAACUGACGCUGAGGAACGAAAGCCAGGGUAGCGAAAGGG
rnacentral:rRNA from 1 species